CCCAUGAUUAAACAACAUGGCGGUUGACAGUAAUCUGGGUUAGCAAGAAAUGUAGACAUUCAUCUCUACAUCUUUGCAAACCACUUAGUGCUGAAUUCUCGAAAAAAAAAGUAAAUUAGCUAUCUAUUCUACUGCUGAAAAAACAACGGAUUUCCGGUUUCUAGUUGUUCGUUGAUCUCAACGACAGAAUGAGCAACAUCUACAUUCAAGAGCCUCCAUCGAAUGGAAAGAGUGGUGCCAGAGUUCAUUGUCCAAGGAGGAGAUCCCACAGGCACCUGGACGGUGGAGAGUCCAUGGACGGCAGUUCAAGGUUAACCUUCACUGUCUCAUCACCUCAUUAUCUCGGAUCAUGUUCAAUCCCCCCAAAAGAUAAGACUAGACAUAAACAGAACUCUUCUACUUGGAACCUUUGCCAACUCACCCAUACUACUGCUACUAAUGAUGAAAAAGUUUUAGUUUUUCUGUUGGUUCUGUCCCACGUUCUCAGGAUGGUUAGAUGAGCUCAACAACAAACACACCAUCUUUGGAAAGGUGAUGCAAUGUACAACAUGCUCAGGUUAGCAGAAGUGGAAUGUGAUGACGAGGAAAAACAGUUAAAUCCACACAAGUUACAAACCACUGAGGUGUUACAUUCUCCCUUCGAUGACAUCAUUCCACGUGAAACAAAAAAAUCCCAAAAGGAUGAAGACAAAAAAAUAGGGCAAGAAAUCUGUCCAAAGCAACAGUGUUUAAUUUACUAUUAUACACACUUUCUCUGCUCCUCAAUCUGUUGCUGACUUGGAAGCGUGGCACUGUAGUUAUGAAAAGUCGACCAUACUUGUUUUGUCAGGAACUUUAGUCUGUUGUCAUUCGGAGAGGAAGCUGAGGAGGAAGAGGAGAUGGUAACUCAAGUUAGCCAGACACUGAAGGGGGAAAGCAAAAGCAGUCAUGACCUGCUGAAGGAUGAUCCACUGCUUAGCUCUGUCCCCACAGUCAACAAGAGAAAAGCCAAGGUGCAGCUGGAGAAGCAUCAGAGUUAUUCUCUUAUUCCUUCAUGUUAUCUGCUCAAUCAAGACCAAAUGCAUCACAUUAUAUACCUUACUAGCUAGGUUUCCAUCCAAUUGUCGACAGAUUUUUAUGCAUUAAAAACAAUAUUUUCCCACCAGA